rnacentral:rRNA from 1 species
GAAGUGUAAUCUUGGGGCUUAACCCUGAGCGUGCUUUCGAUACGGGUUGACUUGAGGAAGGUAGGGGAGAAUGAAGUUCCUGGUGGAGCGGUGGAAUGCGCAGAUAUCAGGAGGAACACCAGCGGCGAAGGCGGUUCUCUGGGCCUUUCCUGACGCUGAGGAGCGAAAGCGUGGGGAGCGAACAGGAUUAGAUACUCUGGUAGUCCACGCUGUAAUCGGUGGGUACUAGGUGUGGGGUCCAUUCCACGGGUUCCGCGCCGUAGCUAACGCUUUAAGUACCCCGCCUGGGGAGUACGGCCGCAAGGCUAAAACUCAAAGGAAUUGACGGGGCCCCGCACAAGCGGCGGAGCAUGCGGAUUAAUUCGAUGCAACGCGUAGAACCUUACCUGGGUUUGACAUGGAUCGGGAGUGCUCAGAGAUGGGUGUGCCUCUUUUGGGGUCGGUUCACAGGUGGUGCAUGGCUGUUGUCAGCUCGUGUCGUGAGAUGUUGGGUUAAGUCCCGCAACGAGCGCAACCCUUGUUCACUGUUGCCAGCACGUUAUGGUGGGGACUCAGUGGAGACCGCCGGGGUCAACUCGGAGGAAGGUGGGGAUGACGUCAAGUCAUCAUGCCCCUUAUGUUCAGGGUUUCACGCAUGCUACAACGGUUGGUACAGAGAGUGGCGAUCCUGUGAGGGUGAGUGAAUCUCGGAAAACCGGUUUCAGUUCGGAUUGGGGUCUGCAACUCGAUCUCAUGAAGUCGGAGUCGUUAGUAAUCGCAGAUCAGCAACGCUACGGUGAAUACGUUCCCGGGGUUUUGUACACACCUCCCGUCAAGUCAUGAAAUUUGGUAACACCCGAAGCCGGUGGCCUAACCGUUGUGGGGGAGCCGUCGAAGGUGGGACUG